CGGACGGGACCGCAGAGUCUGCCCCCGGUAUUCAGCUCGUCCUCUUCGUCGGCCGCGUCCGUCGCCAAACGACACCCUCUGAGCGGGUGCCAUGGCGGGCGUGAGCGCGGCGGGGGACGCGUGCACUUUCCGGGGUGCGGUGCGUCACGACCGGUUCGGCGGAGGUCAGAAGGCCGGCGGGAUGGUGGCCAGUCGUUCGCGUCUGGUGGUAUAGCCCGCCUGCGUCGCAGGCCCUCUGCCGGACCGAGGAGGAUCCGCGUCUGCCUUAGGGCGCGGGGCCCGGGGCCUCCCGUGCUGCCUCCGUGCCGGGACUGCUCUCGCAGUGCCGUGCGCGGUUCGGCGGUCGGGACGGACUCCGCUCCCCCCGUAACGGCGUCUAGGGUCGGUGGCGAUAUUGUCGGCAACCCGUCCGACCCGCU
rnacentral:rRNA from 1 species